GUAACACGUGUGCAACCAACCCCGUACCGGGAGAUAACCCGCGGAAACGUGGACUAACAUCCCAUGAUACUCGAGGGCCGCAUGGCUCUCGAUUUAAAAUUCCGGUGGUACGGGACGGGCACGCGCGACAUUAGGUAGUUGGCGGGGUAACGGCCCACCAAGCCGACGAUGUCUAGGGGUUCUGAGAGGAAGGUCCCCCACACUGGAACUGAGACACGGUCCAGACUCCUACGGGAGGCAGCAGUGAGGAAUAUUGGUCAAUGGGCGAGAGCCUGAACCAGCCAAGUCGCGUGAGGGAAGAAUGGUCUAUGGCCUGUAAACCUCUUUUGUCAGGGAAGAAUAAGGAUGACGAGUCAUUCGAUGCCAGUACUUGACGAAUAAGCAUCGGCUAACUCCGUGCCAGCAGCCGCGGUAAUACGGGGGAUGCGAGCGUUAUCCGGAUUUAUUGGGUUUAAAGGGCGCGUAGGCGGGACGUCAAGUCAGCGGUAAAAGACUGCAGCUAAACUGUAGCACGCCGUUGAAACUGGCGCCCUGGAGACGAGACGAGGGAGGCGGAACAAGUGAAGUAGCGGUGAAAUGCAUAGAUAUCACUUGGAACCCCGAUAGCGAAGGCAGCUUCCCAGGCUCGUUCUGACGCUGAUGCGCGAGAGCGUGGGUAGCGAACAGGAUUAGAUACCCUGGUAGUCCACGCCGUAAACGAUGCUCACUGGAUCUUGGCGAUACACUGCCAGGGUUCAAGCGAAAGUAUUAAGUGAGCCACCUGGGGAGUACGUCGGCAACGAUGAAACUCAAAGGAAUUGACGGGGGCCCGCACAAGCGGAGGAACAUGUGGUUUAAUUCGAUGAUACGCGAGGAACCUUACCCGGGUUUAAAUGUAGAUUGCAUGAGGUGGAAACGCUUCUUCCCUUCGGGGCUAUUUACAAGGUGCUGCAUGGUUGUCGUCAGCUCGUGCCGUGAGGUGUCGGGUUAAGUCCCAUAACGAGCGCAACCCCUAUCGCCAGUUGCCAUCGGUUCAAGCCGGGCACUCUGUCGAGACUGCCACCGUAAGGUGCGAGGAAGGCGGGGAUGACGUCAAAUCAGCACGGCCCUUACACCCGGGGCGACACACGUGUUACAAUGGCCGGUACAGAGGGCAGCCACGGGGUGACCCGGAGCGAAUCUCUAAAGCCGGUCGUAGUUCGGACUGGAGUCUGCAACCCGACUCCACGAAGUUGGAUUCGCAAGUAAUCGCGCAUCAGC
rnacentral:rRNA from 1 species